rnacentral:rRNA from 1 species
ACCUGGUUGAUCCUGCCAGUAGUCAUAUGCUUGUCUCAAAGCUUAAGCCAUGCAAGUGUAAGUUCAUGCCGUAAACGAAUGGUGAAACCGCGAAUGGCUCAGGAACCGGACCUAAUCCUCGGGACCGUAUUCCUCACCGCGAGGAGAGUGGAUAACUGUGGCAAUUCUAGAGCUAAUACAUGCAACCGAAGCCGCGAUCGCAGGUCGCACCCGGGCGUCGGGCCGAAAAACGUCGUUCGGCAGCCGUCGCGUUCUUCGCGGCGUCGCCGCCGUUCGUCGCCGGCGCCCGCUCGGCCGGAUCCGGGGGCGCGCCUCGCGGCGUUGCCUCUCCCGGUCGCGACGAUACGGUCGGCCUUUCGCAUUGGUCGCGGCGCAAAUAUUAGACUGAGACCGACGCGUACGGGUCGCCGCAGCAGCCGCCGUGCUUCGCGCGCGGGUCCGGGCGUGCGGCGUCUUCACGCCCUUCGAUUUUGGUGACUCUGGAUAACUGUCAGUACGAUCGCACGGGCUAGUAUCGACUAGCCUUCGCGCGACGGGUCCCCCGCGAGUCCGCCCUAUCAACUGUCGACGGCCCGGUAAGUGCCGACCGUGGUGGCAACGGGUAACGGGGAAUCAGGGUUCGAUUCCGGAGAGGGAGCAUGCGAAACGGCUACCACAUCCAAGGAAGGCAGCAGGCGCGCAAAUUACCCACUCCCGGCACGGGGAGGUAGUGACGAAAAAUAACGACGCGGGACUCUGUCGAGGCCCCGCGAUCGGAAUGAGUACACUUCAAAUCCGUUAACGAGGAUCGACCGGAGGGCAAGUCUGGUGCCAGCAGCCGCGGUAAUUCCAGCUCCGGUAGCGUAUAUUAAAAUUGUUGCGUUUGAAAAGCUCGUAGUCGGAAUUCGGGUCUCGAAAACGUGCCCCAGCACGUUCGGGGCGACGGCGCCUUUGCGGUCGCGCUCCGCGCGCGUCCGCUUCGGUCGUCCGUUCGCACUCCCGGCCCUAUUCGCCGGUGCGUGCGCGGUCGGGCCGCGGAGCUCUGCGCGCAUCGCCGCCGCGUCGGCCGCCCUGCCCUGUCUUCGCCCGUCCGGUUUCACGCUCGCGCGCGCGGCGGGCCUCGAGUCCGUCCGCGCGCGCGGGUCGGUCGGGAGCCACGAAGCAGGUGUCUUUGGGGCACCGUUUGCGUUGCGGUAGCGCGUCCAUCUCCCGGUCGUUUCGGCCCGCACGGUUCCUCCGAGGGUGCUCUUCGCCGAGUGUCCGAGGCGGCCGGUACGUUCACUGUGAAAAAAUUAGAGUGCUCAGAGCGAGCCCCGCCGGCUUGCAUACGAAAAGCAUGGAAUGAUGGAAAAUGGCCUCGUCCGCGCGUCAUCCGUCGGUCUCCGUUCACGACGAGGCAAUGAUCGAAGGGAGCGAUCGGGGCCACUCGUAUUGCGACGUUAGAGGUGAAAUUCUUGGAUCGUCGCAAGACGCACUGCAGCGACGGCGUGUGGCAAGCACGUUUUCCUCGAUCAAGAGCGAAAGUCGGAGGUUCGAAGACGAUCAGAUACCGUCGUAGUUCCGACCGUAAACGAUGCCGACUGGCGCUCCGCCGGCGUUCGCUUCGAUGACCCGGCGGGGAGCCUGCGCGGGAAACCAUAGUCGGUUCCGGGGGGAGUAUGGUUGCAAAACAGAAACUUAAAGGAAUUGACGGAAGGGCACCACCAGGAGUGGAGCCUGCGGCUUAAUUUGACUCAACACGGGAAAACUCACCCGGUCCGGACACCGGUAGGAUUGACAGAUCGAUAGCUCUUUCUCGAUUCGGUGGGUGGUGGUGCAUGGCCGUUCUUAGUUGGUGGAGCGAUCCGUCUGGUUGAUUCCGAUAACGAACGAGACUCCGGCCUGCUAACUAGCGCGUCGAUUAGUGCUUUUCCGGUAGCGCGGCGGCGCCGAAGCCGUCGUCGGUAGCUCCGCGCGCGGCUCGGGCUUGCCGUUGCCGCCGCUCUCCUUCGCGUCCGGCGCUGCGGCCUCGUCCGGUUGCUCCUCGUGGGCGGUCGCGGCGUGGUUGCGGCGUCGGUUGCGGAGCGGCGGCGGUGACCCGGUCGGCUCGGCCCGCGCGAGCCCGGUGGCGGCACGCUGUCGCGUCCGGGCCAGUCGGUUGGCGAACGCAGCGCUUCUUAGAGGGACGGGCGGCAGAAAGCCGCACGAGGCGGAGCGAUAACAGGUCUGUGAUGCCCUUAGAUGUCCGGGGCCGCACGCGCGCUACACUGGAGGUAUCAGCGGGCGCUUCUCCCCCGGCCCGAGAGGGUCGGGAAACCUCUGAACCACCUCCCGUGAUAGGGAUCGGGGCCUGGAACCAACCCCGUGAACGAGGAAUUCCCGGUAGGCGCGGGUCAUCAGCCCGCGUCGAUCACGUCCCUGCCCUUUGUACACACCGCCCGUCGCUACUACCGAUCGAACGGUCCGGUGAGGUCCUCGGAUCUGGCCGACGAGUUCGCUUACGCGCGGCGGCGUUCCGCGUCGUCGUGGGCGCGUUCUCUGAUGGCCCGGAGAAGACGACCGAACCCGAUCGCUUAGAGGAAGUAAAAGUCGUAACAAGGUUUCCGUAGGUGAACCUGCGGAAGGAUCAUUA